ensembl:lncRNA
CUUAAAGGGAUAGUUCACUCAGAAAUGCAAAUUCUGUUAUUUACUCGGCCUUUAAGUCGAUUUGGACAAAAACGGUUCUUUAAAAAACGUUCAUGUUCCACAGAAAUAAAGUCGCACAGGUUUGGAACAAAACUGAGGUGAACUAGGUGAAGUUUCUCUUUAAGAGCACUAGUUGUAUGCUAUAAGGAUAUGCUGUUCCACCUUUGGCCAUUAGGAGGGGUUGCCAUUUCCACACAUGGUAAGCCUGGAAGGGUGUUGAGGACCUAGUUUAACAGUGAAUACCUUCGGUUAAAAACAGAAGCAUUUUCUGAGAUUUCACCUGGUCGUUUUGUUUCCAAAAUGCUGAACUGUGAAGUACUGAAUGAGUCAUGUGCACACUGACAUCAGUAAGACUUGUUUCUGGUCAGCCCUUCCCUAUUUCAACUUUCCAAACAGUCAUCAUUAUCCGCAAACCCCCUCUCAAAACAAUGACACUGUGAGAAAAGAGAACAAUUUGGGUCAUAAUUGAUAGGAUGUGAUGCAUACUAAACCAUGAGGCACACUCCCACUCAGCAGGAUCAUGUUAAGAGCGCCGCUAGAUAAACAGGGAGGUUUGGGAAUAAUGAGGUUUUCUUUUCAUAGUUCUCUCAGGGGACGAGUAGAGCUCCCUGCCUCACUGACGUCACACUUUAUGUACAAGUAAACAAGAAGACCUGAGGGGAACAGCCAGAUGUAAACACUAAAGAUUUAAAGUGUGGACAAGACUGCAGAUUUGAUGAGGAAGACAGAAAAACUCCAACCGUAGCUGAUCCUGCUCACAGCAAACUGACGUUUCCAUGAAAGGCCUGUUGGUCCCAUGGCCAGAGUAACAGAGGUUUGAAAACACAGCUUUGGUGUGGAUUUCCUGCUGCCAUCCAAUGUGACCUUCAGAAAUCCAGUACACCACAUUGAUCUCAAUGGGUUGUUCAUAUUUUUCCUGUGAGAUAUCAAUCUUUGUCACCUGUGAAGGAAAUCAUGAUGAAGGAAUGUUUUGAUGGUCUCCUUACCUUGUAAGAGGGUCUCAUCUUACAAAAAACAUGGGCUACGUUCUGUCCGUGCAGAUGAUAACACCAGCUGUGGAGGCCAAUCUAAAGGUAAAUGCACAAGAUGUUCAUCUACUGACGAAAAACAUCUCAAAUGCUU